CCUACGGGGCGCAGCAGUCGAGAAUCAUUCACAAUGGGGGAAACCCUGAUGGUGCGACGCCGCGUGGGGGAAUGAAGGUCUUCGGAUUGUAAACCCCUGUCAUGUGGGAGCAAAUUAAAAAGAUAGUACCACAAGAGGAAGAGACGGCUAACUCUGUGCCAGCAGCCGCGGUAAUACAGAGGUCUCAAGCGUUGUUCGGAAUCACUGGGCGUAAAGCGUGCGUAGGCUGUUUCGUAAGUCGUGUGUGAAAGGCGCGGGCUCAACCCGCGGACGGCACAUGAUACUGCGAGACUAGAGUAAGGGAGGGGGAACCGGAAUUCUCGGUGUAGCAGUGAAAUGCGUAGAUAUCGAGAGGAACACUCGUGGCGAAGGCGGGUUCCUGGACAUUAACUGACGCUGAGGCACGAAGGCCAGGGGAGCGAAAGGGAUUAGAUACCCUGGUAGUC
rnacentral:rRNA from 1 species